rnacentral:rRNA from 1 species
UACCAGCACCCCGAGUGGUCGGGACGAUUAUUGGGCCUAAAGCAUCCGUAGCCGGCCUUACAAGUCCCCCGUUAAAUCCAACUGCUUAACAGAUGGGCUGCGGAGGAUACUAUAAGACUAGGAGGCAGGAGAGGCAAGCGGUACUCAGUGGGUAGGGGUAAAAUCCGUUGAUCCAUUGAAGACCACCAGUGGCGAAGGCGGCGAUCUGGGAAGAUACUGACGCUGAGGAGCGAAAGCGUGGGGAGCAAACAGG